CGGUGGUGCUUGCACCACCUGAUUAGUGGCGAACGGGUGAGUAACACGUGAGUAACCUGCCCCUCACUUCGGGAUAACCUCGGGAAAUCGUGGCUAAUACCGGAUAUGAGCUCCUGCCGCAUGGUGGGGGUUGGAAAGAUUUAUCGGUGAGGGAUGGACUCGCGGCCUAUCAGUUUGUUGGUGAGGUAAUGGCUCACCAAGACGAUGACGGGUAGCCGGCCUGAGAGGGCGACCGGCCACACUGGGACUGAGACACGGCCCAGACUCCUACGGGAGGCAGCAGUGGGGAAUAUUGCACAAUGGGCGAAAGCCUGAUGCAGCGACGCCGCGUGGGGGAUGACGGCCUUCGGGUUGUAAACCCCUUUCAGUAGGGAAGAAGCGAAAGUGACGGUACCUGCAGAAGAAGCGCCGGCUAACUACGUGCCAGCAGCCGCGGUAAUACGUAGGGCGCAAGCGUUGUCCGGAAUUAUUGGGCGUAAAGAGCUCGUAGGUGGCUUGUCGCGUCUGCCGUGAAAACCCGAGGCUCAACCUCGGGCGUGCGGUGGGUACGGGCAGGCUAGAGUGUGGUAGGGGAGACUGGAACUCCUGGUGUAGCGGUGAAAUGCGCAGAUAUCAGGAAGAACACCGAUGGCGAAGGCAGGUCUCUGGGCCAUUACUGACACUGAGGAGCGAAAGCAUGGGUAGCGAACAGGAUUAGAUACCCUGGUAGUCCAUGCCGUAAACGUUGGGCACUAGAUGUGGGGGGACAUUCCACGUUUUCCGCGUCGUAGCUAACGCAUUAAGUGCCCCGCCUGGGGAGUACGGCCGCAAGGCUAAAACU
rnacentral:rRNA from 1 species